UACAGAGGGGCAAGCGUUAUUCGGAAUUAUUGGGCGUAAAGGGCGCGUAGGCGGCUUGGCAAGUGGAAGGUGAAAUCCCCCGGCUCAACCGGGGAACGGCUGGGUAUACUGGCGGCCUUGAGCGGCCUAGGGGCAGAUGGAACAGACGGUGGAGCGGUGAAAUGCGUAGAUAUCGUCUGGAACGCCAAAGGUGAAAACAGUCUGCUGGGGGCUUGCUGACGCGUGGAGACACGAAAGCCAGGGGAGCGAAACGGG
rnacentral:rRNA from 1 species